UGGGGAAUAUUGCGCAAUGGGGGGAACCCUGACGCAGCAACGCCGCGUGCAGGAAGAAGGUCUUCGGAUUGUAAACUGUUGUCGCAAGGGAAGAAGACAGUGACGGUACCUUGUGAGAAAGUCACGGCUAACUACGUGCCAGCAGCCGCGGUAAUACGUAGGUGACAAGCGUUGUCCGGAUUUACUGGGUGUAAAGGGCGCGUAGGCGGGCUGUCAAGUCAGCCGUGAAAUGCCGGGGCUUAACCCCGGAGCUGCGGUUGAAACUGACAGUCUUGAGUAUCGGAGAGGAAAGCGGAAUUCCCAGUGUAGCGGUGAAAUGCGUAGAUAUUGGGAGGAACACCAGUGGCGAAGGCGGCUUUCUGGACGACAACUGACGCUGAGGCGCGAAAGUGUGGGGAGC
rnacentral:rRNA from 1 species